rnacentral:rRNA from 1 species
GAGUUUGAUCAUGGCUCAGAUUGAACGCUGGCGGCAGGCCUAACACAUGCAAGUCGAACGGUAACAGGAAGCAGCCUGCUGCUUCGCUGACGAGUGGCGGACGGGUGAGUAAUGUCUGGGAAGCUGCCUGAUGGAGGGGGAUAACUACUGGAAACGGUAGCUAAUACCGCAUAAUGUCGCAAGACCAAAGAGGGGGACCUUCGGGCCUCUUGCCAUCGGAUGUGCCCAGAUGGGAUUAGCUUGUUGGUGGGGUAACGGCUCACCAAGGCGACGAUCCCUAGCUGGUCUGAGAGGAUGACCAGCCACACUGGAACUGAGACACGGUCCAGACUCCUACGGGAGGCAGCAGUGGGGAAUAUUGCACAAUGGGCGCAAGCCUGAUGCAGCCAUGCCGCGUGUAUGAAGAAGGCCUUCGGGUUGUAAAGUACUUUCAGCGGGGAGGAAGGGAGUAAAGUUAAUACCUUUGCUCAUUGACGUUACCCGCAGAAGAAGCACCGGCUAACUCCGUGCCAGCAGCCGCGGUAAUACGGAGGGUGCAAGCGUUAAUCGGAAUUACUGGGCGUAAAGCGCACGCAGGCGGUUUGUUAAGUCAGAUGUGAAAUCCCCGGGCUCAACCUGGGAACUGCAUCUGAUACUGGCAAGCUUGAGUCUCGUAGAGGGGGGUAGAAUUCCAGGUGUAGCGGUGAAAUGCGUAGAGAUCUGGAGGAAUACCGGUGGCGAAGGCGGCCCCCUGGACGAAGACUGACGCUCAGGUGCGAAAGCGUGGGGAGCAAACAGGAUUAGAUACCCUGGUAGUCCACGCCGUAAACGAUGUCGACUUGGAGGUUGUGCCCUUGAGGCGUGGCUUCCGGAGCUAACGCGUUAAGUCGACCGCCUGGGGAGUACGGCCGCAAGGUUAAAACUCAAAUGAAUUGACGGGGGCCCGCACAAGCGGUGGAGCAUGUGGUUUAAUUCGAUGCAACGCGAAGAACCUUACCUGGUCUUGACAUCCACGGAAGUUUUCAGAGAUGAGAAUGUGCCUUCGGGAACCGUGAGACAGGUGCUGCAUGGCUGUCGUCAGCUCGUGUUGUGAAAUGUUGGGUUAAGUCCCGCAACGAGCGCAACCCUUAUCCUUUGUUGCCAGCGGUCCGGCCGGGAACUCAAAGGAGACUGCCAGUGAUAAACUGGAGGAAGGUGGGGAUGACGUCAAGUCAUCAUGGCCCCUUACGACCAGGGCUACACACGUGCUACAAUGGCGCAUACAAAGAGAAGCGACCUCGCGAGAGCAAGCGGACCUCAUAAAGUGCGUCGUAGUCCGGAUUGGAGUCUGCAACUCGACUCCAUGAAGUCGGAAUCGCUAGUAAUCGUGGAUCAGAAUGCCACGGUGAAUACGUUCCCGGGCCUUGUACACACCGCCCGUCACACCAUGGGAGUGGGUUGCAAAAGAAGUAGGUAGCUUAACCUUCGGGAGGGCGCUUACCACUUUGUGAUUCAUGACUGGGGUGAAGUCGUAACAAGGUA